rnacentral:rRNA from 1 species
CCUACGGGAGGCAGCAGUGAGGAAUAUUGGUCAAUGGACGCAAGUCUGAACCAGCCAUGCAGCGUGCAGGAUGACUGCUCUAUGAGUUGUAAACUUCUUUUAUACGAGGAUAAACGCAGAUACGCGUAUCUGUCUGUAUGUAUCUUAUGAAUAAGGAUCGGCUAACUCCGUGCCAGCAGCCGCGGUAAUACGGAGGAUUCAAGCGUUAUCCGGAUUUAUUGGGUUUAAAGGGUGCGUAGGCGGUCGGAUAAGUUAGAGGUGAAAUCUCGAGGCUCAACUGCGGAAGUGACUUUGAUACUGGUCGGCUAGAGAGUAGUUGCGGUAGGGGGAAUGUAGGGUGUAGCGGUGAAAUGCUUAGAGAUCAUGCAGAACACCGAUUGCGAAGGCAGCUUACCAAGCCACUUCUGACGUUGAGGCUCGAAAGCGUGGGGAGCAAACAGGAUUAGAUACCCCAGUAGUC